AUUGAACGCUGGCGGCAGGCCUAACACAUGCAAGUCGAGCGAGCGGCGGACGGGUGAGUAAUGUAUGGGGAUCUGCCCGAUCGAUGGGGAUAACUCCUGGACACGGUGGCUAAUACCGCAUACUUCCGGAUGACCCCAUAUGGGAUUAGCUAGUAGGUGGGGUAAAGGCUCAACUAGGCGACGCUAUCUACCUGGUCUGAGAGGAGGCUCAGCCACACUGGGACUGUGACACGGCCCAGACUCAUACGGGAGGCAGCAGUGGGGAAUAUUGCAAAAUGUGCGCAAGCCGGAUGCAGCCAUGCCGCGUGUAUGAAGAAGGCCUCAGGGUUGUAAAGUACUUGCAGCGGGGAGGAGUUACACGCAGAAGAAGCACCGGCUAACUCCGUGCCAGCAGCCGCGGUAAUUC
rnacentral:rRNA from 1 species